CGGGCAGCGCAGGGGCGGGGCGCUGGUAAAGGGCGCUUGGUGCAGUCCGGGGGUGCGCGACGAGCGCCCGAAAACCGCGCGGACCCAGGGCGCCGCCGCGGACCCACCCCUCCUGACCUGGGGACCCGCGGCGCGGAGCCCAUUUUAACCGCGAUUGUUGAGUGUUUAGCCGGCCAGCUCAGCCCCGCGUCUCGCCUUUGCAGAGGGGCGCCGCUUCAUCUCGGACCAGAGUCGGAAGAAGGACCUCUCGGACCGGCCGCCCCCGGAAAGACGAAGCCCAAAUCCCCAGCUACUAACUCUUCCAGAGACAGCAGCUCUGCUACUGGCUUCCUUGCAGAGACCACAAGAAGCUGGAGAAGAAAACUUUGAUCAAACCAGAAUCCUAGAAGACUACUAACCUGGGGAAAAUAGACCAAAUUACAUUCAAAUACAGUUCUGUUCUUGUUGAAAACAUGAGCAUGUAAAUAAAGCCUUUGGAGGCUUUUUACUUCAGUUGUAAUCUUAGGAACAUGCACAACCAGUUUCAUUCUUUCCAGCAACAAAGGUAAUGUAGAGUUCUUAGCUGAGAGCAUCACCUUCUUUCAUUGCUUCUGGUCCUGUUUAGGUCACCUUGUGUCUUAGUCCCCUUUAGAAUUAAGCAUAAGGCCAGCGACUCUUUAGAGUGUGCUUUCUUUUUGUUAAAACGAGUCUGUCUUGAUCUAGUGAUUCUCAGUUGUUGGUUUUUUUUUUCAUUCUGUUACCCCUUGCAUUGUCUUGUCACUCAGCAGCAGAUCUCCGUCUCCUUUUCUACCUUUUUCCCAUCUUCAUGGGUGGGGGGAUGGGGAGGCAUGGCAGGAUGGGAAAGAGUAGAGUGUUCUCUUAAUAGUUCAUCUAGGAGACAUAAAUUAAGAAGGGAAGAGGAAGGAGUUGACUGGGAAGAAGCCCUGUGAUAAGAACACUUCAGUGUAGUUGCUGAAAGAGGGCAUGAUCUCUGAAGCUGGUAGAAGGUUCCACAAUGGAGAGCUUCCCUUUGUGUUAUUUGGGGAUCUCCCUGAAUUCUGGGACUUACUGGGAAAUAAGCAGAUGGAGACACACUCUGUUCCUGUGUACAUUGUACAAAAGGAACAAACCAGUUUUUCAGAGGCAACUCAUUUUUCACAGCUAAACAGAUUCAAAGAGUCUGCUUACUCUAAUUAGCUAGAGUUCUAGGCUUUAUUUUACCUUAAAACAUUACAUAAAACACCCUGAUAACAUCAGUACAGAGUGAUAUGCCCAAUCUGGUCCUUCUCAAAACUUUGAACUUAGGUUCAAAACUGUCUGAAAAAAACACACACAUGCAGUAACACACACACACAUAUCCACAGCAAGCAUAAUAACCUAUUUUUUUGGAAUUGGAAUGUGAUCACCAUGUUAAUUUUUUGACCUAAUUAAUUGAGAGCUAUUAUUGAUAAAUGUCAUAAGUGGAAAACAUUGUGAAUUCUUAUUGUCAUCAAUAUAUAGCCAUUAUUCAGUAGCUAAAGAAUACCUUUAUGUGAAUGUAUCUGUACCUUGAGAUUACAGUUUCACUGUGUUAUGAAGUCAAAACCUUGCUUAUAAGAUUUGGCUGUAUCUUGUUUCAUAAUUGAAUAAUGAAACUAUAUUCAAGUUAAUGUAACACAGAUCUCUUGCAAAAACUAAUAUGCUAGCAUUAAAAAAACUAUGUGGUAUUAUA